ensembl:lncRNA
CACCGAAAAGCUGGGUCUCAGUCAGAGCGUCAGGUCCAUCAGCUGUAGAAGUUCCAUUCUCAGUGCUCAUGCUGAUCAGUAGUGUAGUGACGGCCUCUCUGCUGGUGACCAUCAUUCUGCUGGUCAAAUGUUACAGAGCUCGAGCUCACAAUGGUGAAUACAGAAUCCAGAAUGCAGUCAUAGAGGAGUCAGCAAAGUUCAUCUAUAAAAAGAGGACCCGUUUAAUGUAGAAAUCAUUUCAUAAUUCCUUUGCAGUCAUUUUGUGGAUUGUAAAUAAUACUGAUCUAUCGCUUUAACAUCAUGCUGUUUGUAGCUCAGCAUCUUACACGCACUCGUCUUUCUGACUGGAUUUGUUUAGCUGAAGCCUGCAAACCUCCUCAUGAGGUGAAAGUGAACAUGUGUUUAGUCUCUAAUAAAGCCUACAUGUUGCUAAUGCAAAAACACGUGUGAAAUAAAUGUGUCUGAUAUUGGAGUGAGUUUCAUCCCAACAUGGUGACCUGCACAUUACAACCUCAAAACGCUUCA